rnacentral:tRNA from 1 species
UCCCUGGUAGUCCAGUGGUUAAGACUCUGUGCUUCCACUGCAGGGGGCACGGGUUCAGUCCCUGCUUGGGGAA